UACGGGGGGGGCAAGCGUUGUUCGGAAUUACUGGGCGUAAAGGGCUCGUAGGCGGCCAACUAAGUCGGACGUGAAAUCCCUCGGCUCAACCGGGGAACUGCGUCCGAUACUGGAUGGCUUGAGUUCGGGAGAGGGAUGCGGAAUUCCAGGUGUAGCGGUGAAAUACGUAGAUAUCUGGAGGAACACCGGUGGCGAAGGCGGCAUCCUGGACCGACACUGACGCUGAGGAGCGAAAGCCAGGGGAGCAAACGGG
rnacentral:rRNA from 1 species